rnacentral:rRNA from 1 species
CACCUGUUUAUCAAAAACAUGGUUUUAUGAUUAUAUUUUAAAAUUUAUUCUGCUCAAUGAUAAAUGUAUUAUUAAAUAGCCGCAGUAUUUUGACUGUGCAAAGGUAGCAUAAUCAAUUGUUUUUUAAUUGAGGGCUGGAAUGAAGGAAUGAAUGAAAUUUAAACUGUCUUUAAUAAAAAAUUAAAAUUUAAAUUUUAAGUAAAAAUGCUUAAAUAUUAUUAUGGGACGAGAAGACCCUAUAGAAUUUUAUAUAUGAAUAAAUAAUUGUAAUUAAGUUAGAAUAAUUAUUUAAUAAUAUAUUUUAUUGGGAGGAUAAUUAAAUUAAAUUAACUUUAUUGUAUAUAUAUAUGUAUAAUUUUAUAUUAUUAUUAUUAUAUUAUUGUUACAUUAAUUUAUGAAAAAGUGAAUAAAUUUUAUUAAAUUUAUAUAAGAAUUAAUUACCUUAGGGAUAACAGCGUUAUAUUUUUUAAAAGAUCUUAUUGAAAAAAAUGUUUGCGACCUCGAUGUUGAAUUAAAGUAAAAAUUAAAUGAAGAAGUUUAAUAUUUUAGUCUGUUCGACUAUUAAAAUUUUACAUGAUUUGAGUUCAAAUCGACG